rnacentral:pre_miRNA from 1 species
CUUGUACUCCAUCCAUCCGAAAAUACUUGUCAUUGAAAUGGAUGUAUCUAGAUGUAUUUUAGUUCUAGACACAUCCAUUUUGAUGACAAGUAAUUUCGGACGGAGGGAGUACUUG